AAUGAUAUCUAAGAUAACAACAAAAAACUGCAAAAUUUUGUAAAAUUACUAACUCAGGGGCAGCAACCCAACAACGGGUUGUCAGAUUCGUCUGAAAAUUUCAGGGCAGAUAAAUCUAAAUCUGAUGAACAUUUUUGCCACCUGUCAGAUUUGCUCUAAAUGCUUUAGUUUCAGAGAUAUAAACCAAAAACUGCAUUUUACCCCUACGUUCUAACUUUAACCAAGUCGGCCAUGAUGGUUGGAAGGCGGGGUCAUAGGACAAUUUUUUUAAACUAAAUACCCUUAUAAUGAUUAUGGCUAAGUAUGGUUAAAUUUGUCUCAGUAGUUUCAGACAAGAAGAUUUUUGUAAAAGAUUACAAAAAUUUACGAAAAAUUGUUAAAAAUUUACUAUUAAGGGCAAUAACUCCUAAAGGGAUCGACUGACAAUUUUGGUCAUGUCAACUUAUUUGUAGAUCUUACUUUGCUGAACAUUAUUGCUGUUUACAGUUUAUCUCUAUCUAUAAUAAUAUUCAAGAUAAUAACCAAUAAAAUGCUUCGCUGGGCGCAGCUUGAUACGACCGCAGAGGUCGAACCCUGAACAGUUGGGGCAAGUAUGGACACAACAUUCAAGCUUGAUACAGCUCUGAAUUUGGAUUGUGAUUAAAUAUUUGACACAGCAUAUGUUUCUGACACAGAAGGAAUGUGGUCUAAGAACUUCAAUUUUUUUAAUUUACCUAUUAUGGUCCAAUGUCCAAAAUCAAAAUACAUGGUUAGAUUCAGCAUAUCAAAGAACCCCAUAUAUUCAAUUUUUGUUGAAAUCAAACAAAGUUUAAUUUUGGACCCCAACUUGGACAAACUUGAAAACUGGUCCCAUAAUCAAAAAUCCAAACACAUGUUUAGAUUCAGCAUAUCAAAGUACCCCAAGAAUUCAAUUUUUGUUAAAAUCGAACUAAGUUUAAUUUUGGACCCUUUGGACCUUAAUGUAGACCAAUUUAAAAAACGGGACCCAAAAUUAAAUAUCUAAAAACACGGUUAGAUUUGGCAUAUCAAAGAACCCCAAUAAUUCAAUUUUUGAUGAAAUCAAACAAAGUUUAAUUUUGGACCCUUUUGACCUCAAUAUGAACCAAUUUGAUAGCGGGCCCACAAAUAAAAAAUCUAAAUACAUGGUAAGAUUCAGCAUAUCAAAGAACCCCAUAUAUAUUCAAUUUUUGUUGAAAUCAAACAAAGUUUAAUUUUGGACCCCAAUUUAGACCAACUUGAAAACUGGGCCAUAAAUCUAAAAUCUAAAUACAUGUUUAGAUCCAGCAUAUCAAAGAACCCCAUAUAUUCAAUUUUUGUUGAAAUCAAACAAAGUUUAAUUUUGGACCCCAACUUGGACCAACUUGAAAACUGGGCCCAUAAUCAAAAAUCUAAACACAUGUUUAGAUUCAGCAUAUCAAAGAACCCCAAAAACUCAAUUUUUGUUAAAAUCAAACUAAGUUUAAUUUUGGACCCUUUGGACCUUAAUGUAGACCAAUUUAAAAAACGGGACCCAAAAUUAAAAAUCUAAAUACACGGUUAGAUUUGGCAUAUCAAAGAACCCCAAUAAUUUAAUUUUUGAUGAAAUCAAACAAAGUUUAAUUUUGGACCCUUUUGACCGCAAUAUGAACCAAUUUAAUAGCGGGGUCCACAAAUAAAAAAUCUAAAUACAUGGUUAGAUUCAGCAUAUCAAAGAACCCCAUAUAUUCAUUUUUUGUUGAAAUCAAACAAAGUUUAAUUUUGGACCCCAAUUUGGACCAACUUGAAAACUGGGCCAAAAAUCAAAAAUCUAAAUACAUGUUUAGAUUCAGCAUAUCAAAGAACCCCAUAUAUUCAAUUUUUGUUAAAAUCAAACAAAGUUAAAUUUUGGACCCUUUGGACCUUAAUGUAGACCAAUUUGAAAACUGGACCCAAAAUUAAAAAUCUAAAUACACAGUUAGAUUCGGCAUAACGAAUAAAUAAAUGUGGUCAAAGAUUUUACAAAUCUAAUGUGCCAUACUGUGCAAUUAAAGAUUACUUCUUGAAAUUUUUCAAUAUUUGAAAUUUGAAAAAAAAUAAUAUUUAAAGAAUAAUUCUUUUUAAUUUCUGAAAUCUGAAAUGAGAAAAAAUUGACCCCCCACAAUUUCUUUUUACCCCCAAAAAAUCCUUUCCCUCAAGGUAUGGUCAUAAUCUCAAUUCAAAUUUCCAAUGGAAUUUGCAACCAUAAUUACCCAUUUAAAUUUACCAUAGUGCUAACUUAAUCUAUUUUAUAAUAGAAUUUAAAAUAUAGUGUCAAAUCUUUCAUAUGGCU